UACGAAGGGUGCAAGCGUUACUCGGAAUUACUGGGCGUAAAGCGUGCGUAGGCGGUUUGUUAAGUCCGCUGUGAAAGCCCUGGGCUCAACCUGGGAAUUGCAGUGGAUACUGGCAAGCUAGAGUGCGGUAGAGGAUGGUGGAAUUCCCGGUGUAGCGGUGAAAUGCGCAGAUAUCAGAAGGAACACCAGCGGCGAAGGCGGCGCUCUGGGCCGGAACUGACGCUGAGGAGCGAAAGCGUGGGUAGCAAACAGG
rnacentral:rRNA from 1 species